rnacentral:rRNA from 1 species
GCGCAUAACACAUGCAAGUCGAGCGAGGGCUCAUUUCCCGCAAGGGAGAUGGGUUCCUAGCGGCGAACGGGUGAGUAACACGUGGGCAACCUUUCCUAUCGCGGGGGAUAACAGCGGGAAACCGCUGCUAAUACCGCAUGUAGUCACCGGUCGCAUGGCCGGUGAAAAAAGCAGCAAUGCACGAUAGGGUGGGCCCGCGGCCUAUCAGUUAGUCGGUGGGGUAACGGCCUACCGAGGCGAUGACGGGUAGCUGGUCUGAGAGGACGACCAGCCACACGGGGACUGAGACACGGCCCCGACUCCUACGGGAGGCAGCAGUGAGGAAUCUUCCGCAAUGGGCGAAAGCCUGACGGAGCGACACCGCGUGUGGGAUGAAGUCUUUCGGGAUGUAAACCACUGUUGGAGGGGAAGACUUCGACGGUACCCUCCGAGAAAGCCCCGGCUAACUACGUGCCAGCAGCCGCAGUAA